UACGAAGGGGACUAGCGUUGUUCGGAAUCACUGGGCGUAAAGCGCACGUAGGCGGAAUUGUAAGUCAGGGGUGAAAUCCCGGGGCUCAACCUCGGAACUGCCUUUGAUACUGCGAUUCUCGAGUCCGAUAGAGGUAAGUGGAAUUCCUAGUGUAGAGGUGAAAUUCGUAGAUAUUAGGAAGAACACCAGUGGCGAAGGCGGCUUACUGGAUCGGUACUGACGCUGAGGUGCGAAAGCGUGGGGAGCAAACAGG
rnacentral:rRNA from 1 species